CAACAACAACAGAAGACGAAGGCGUUCAGUGAUAUGCUACAUGCUUCUUAAAAGACGACACAUGCUGCAUUACCUGUGUUACGGACGGCAUCCUCGAUGGUUCCAAUUUCCAGCCCAUUCCCCAAUUUUCAACCCCAAUGACAGACAACACACGCUGGAAUGGCUGUUUAGCUAAGGAAGGGAAUUGGGGAACACUAGCGAUACAUCACCCAAAUGAGG